GCUGGCACAGUGGCACAAGGCUGUAUAGUCCCAGCUGCCAGGUAGACUGAGACAGAAAGAUCACUUGAGUCCAGGAGUUGUGGGCUUUUGUGCACUAUGCUGAUCAGGUGUCCACACUAAGUUCAGCAUCAAUAUGGCAACCUCCUGGGAACGGAGGACCACUGGGCUGCCUAAGGAGGGAUGAGCCAGCCCAGUGGGAAAUGCAGCAGGUCAAGACUUCCGUGCUGAUCAGUAGUGGGAUCACAUCUGUGAAUAAGCACUGCACUCAAGCCUGGGCAACAUAGUGAGACCCCGUUGUUU
ensembl:misc_RNA Metazoa_SRP Metazoan signal recognition particle RNA